UUUUGUGAUUUGUUUUGUUUCCGUUUAGUGAGUUUGCGAUUGUGUGUGUACUUUGGAUAUUUUUGCUGUUUCCUAUGUUUGAUUUAUUUUUAAAUUUGUUUUGUUAAUGACGCCGGCUGUUCAAAUGUGAGAAAUUUAUUAAGAAUAAUUUAAUUUUGAAGAUAUAACACUGUUUCAUAAAACUAUCACUGCAGAAAAUGACUGACGUACAUGCACGGCAUUGCCAAGUCUGCAAUUUGGACCAUGAUGAUGAUCCUUUGCAUAACAAUUCUCUUUUACACAGAUUCAAUUUCUUGCUUUUCGAGUGGUCAAAA